rnacentral:rRNA from 1 species
UGAGGAAUAUUGGUCAAUGGGCGAGAGCCUGAACCAGCCAAGUAGCGUGCAGGAUGACGGCCCUAUGGGUUGUAAACUGCUUUUAUACGGGGAUAAAGUGAGGUACGUGUACCUUUUUGUUCAGGUC